GACGAACGCUGGCGGCGUGCUUAACACAUGCAAGUCGAACGGAAAGGCCAUGCUCUUGUGGGUCGCUCGAGUGGCGAACGGGUGAGUAACACGUGAGUAAUCUCCCCCUGUCUUUGGGAUAACUUCUGGAAACCGGGUAUCAUAUCGGUUAUGAGCUCCUGCAGCUUGUUGUGGAUUGGUAAGAUUCGGCGGUAGGGGAUGGACUCGCGGGUUAUCAGCUUGUUGGCAUGUUAGGUGCUUACCAAGGCUCUGACGGGUAGCAGGCCUCAGAGGGUUACCGGCGACAUUGGGACUGAGAUAAGGCCCAGACUCCUACGGGAGGCAGUAGGGGAGAAUAUUGCACAAUGGGCGGAAGCCAGAUGCAGCAACGCCGCGGGCGGGAUGACGGCCUUCGGGUUAUAAACCGCUGUCGCAUGAGACGAAGCGUGAGUGACGGUAAUGGGUAAAGAAGCACCGGCUAACUACGUG
rnacentral:rRNA from 1 species